rfam:Paenibacillus sp. TNCCL117 genome assembly, contig: FG16DRAFT_scaffold00001.1
CGGGCGGCAUCCGGAUUCGGAGCUGCACCUGAUAGGCGAGCGGAUCAUAGCUUUAGCUUUACGAACCCAAUAAUUUUUUACGCAACAUAUGAUAUCGGAUUCUGCUCUGAGCCCUAAGGGACCGAGACAGAAGG